AUGGCCGCCGGCGAGAGAAACGAGUCUUCGGCGGCGGCGGCGGCGCCAUUGCUGGCAGCAGCGAGGGAGAGGAAGCUCUGCAAGGAGGGGUGCCCAGGGUGCAGGCUGGACGAGAUCAACAAGAGCAAGACCGGCAUCCCCUACCUCAACUUCUUCUACGUGUGGGUCGUCUGUCUCUGCGCCGGCUGGGGCACAGACCUGAAAACCAAAAAUAAUAUGUCAAGUCAACAAGCAAUUAACAUACCAUCUCUACGCCUCGGCACUUAG
rnacentral:rRNA from 1 species